CCGCACGGCUGGCGUCUCGCUGCACCGGUAUCCUGUCGACACUCGAAGGCGUGAAGCAUGGGUUCGGUUCUCCAACAACCGGGGCCUACAGGGGAAGACUCCAUGGCAGCUACGAAACAUGGUUGUUUGCUCUUUACAUUUCAAGGCGUCAGCUUUCCUGCGGCCUGGAUACCUACGCCACAAUGCAGUGCCGACUGUGCUUGCCCCUGAAGAAACGACACGUGGCGAAGUUUCAAGCGAGAGCUGUACAGUUUCUGCAGUGGCAAAUGGAAGGAGUUCUCCAGCCCCACCGACCUACCGAUACCCGGGCCGCUCGGACUCCCAGAGUUCCUGUGGCAUUCCUGACGACCAGUCUUCCGAAAU
rnacentral:lncRNA from 1 species